GAUGAACGCUAGCGGCAGGCCUAACACAUGCAAGUCGAGGGGUAGAGGAAGCUUGCUUCCUUGAGACCGGCGCACGGGUGCGUAACGCGUAUGCAAUCUACCUUUUACAGAGGGAUAGCCCAGAGAAAUUUGGAUUAAUACCUCAUAGUAUUUUCGAAUGGCAUCAUUUGAUUAUUAAAGUACCAACGGUAAAAGAUGAGCAUGCGUCCUAUUAGCUAGAUGGUAAGGUAACGGCGUACCAUGGCAACGAUAGGUAGGGGUCCUGAGAGGGGGAUCCCCCACACUGGGGCUGAGACACGGACCAGACUCCUACGGGAGGCAGCAGUGAGGAAUAUUGGACAAUGGGCGCAAGCCUGAUCCAGCCAUGCCGCGUGCAGGAAGACGGUCCUAUGGAUUGUAAACUGCUUUUAUACAGGAAGAAACCCUCCCACGUGUGGGAGAUUGACGGUACUGUAGGAAUAAGGAUCGGCUAACUCCGUGCCAGCAGCCGCCGUAAGAC
rnacentral:rRNA from 1 species